rnacentral:tRNA from 1 species
GGGGGAAUGGCUCGGUGGUAGAGCAUUUCACUGCAGAUCAAUAGGCCUCAGGUUCAAAUCCUGAUGCUCCUG